UCAACUGCUUUUGGCUGAGAAUCGUGUACCUGCUUCUGAAUCGACGCCAUAGAAGGAGCUUCACCGAUCUGGGUAACCUUCAAUUUUCCGUCGGUGUUCUUGACGAAGCACGCAGCUUCACCGAUCUGGGUAACCUUCAAUUUUCCGUCGGUGUUCUUGACGAAGCACGCAGCUUCACCGAUCUGGGUAACCUUCAAUUUUCCGUCGGUGUUCUUGACGAAGCACGCAGCUUUUUCUGUCGGAGAUUUCAGAUCGGACCCGUUCUUGACGAAGCACACAUCUUUUUCUGUCGUUAAUUGCAAAUCUGACCCUUCUUCUUCGAUUUGAGGUUGUUUGCUCUGGGUCAUCUGCGUUGACUUGCUAGCUGUAGAUUUAUGCUUAUUUCUGUGAUUUCCCAUGGAUUACAGCAAGAAA
rnacentral:lncRNA from 1 species